rnacentral:ncRNA from 1 species
CUGCCACAACGGCUUCCUGGCGUGGCGGGUUGUCCCCAAUGGAGCA